rnacentral:rRNA from 1 species
GCUCAGGAUGAACGCUGGCGGCGUGCCUAACACAUGCAAGUCGAGCGAUGAGGCUCCCUUCGGGGGGUACAUCAGCGGCGAACGGGUGAGUAACACGUGGGUGACCUUCCCCAAAGACGGGGAUAACUCUUGGAAACAGGGGCUAAUACCCGAUGUGCUCAGCAGUUCACUCUGUUGAGUAAAGCUAUGGCGCUUUGGGAUGGGCCCGCGGCCCAUCAGCUAGUUGGUAGGGUAAAGGCCUACCAAGGCUAAGACGGGUAGGGGGCGUGAGAGCGCGAUCCCCCACACUGGCACUGAGACACGGGCCAGACUCCUACGGGAGGCAGCAGUGAGGAAUAUUGCGCAAUGGACGAAAGUCUGACGCAGCGACGCCGCGUGGGCGAUGAAGGCCUUCGGGUCGUAAAGCCCUUUUCUGGGGGAAGAGAAAGGACGGUACCCCAGGAAUAAGCCCCGGCUAACUACGUGCCAGCAGCCGCGGUAAAACGUAGGGGGCAAGCGUUAUCCGGAUUUACUGGGCGUAAAGAGCGUUGAGGCGGUUUUGUAAGUUGGGCGUGAAAGCCCUGGGCUUAACUCAGGGAAGCCGUUCAAUACUGCGAAACUUGAGGGCAGCAGAGGGAGGUGGAAUUCCCGGAGUAGCGGUGAAAUGCGUAGAUAUCGGGAGGAACACCAGUGGCGAAGGCGGACUCCUGGGCUGCUCCUGACGCUGAAGGCGAAAGCUAGGGGAAGCCGAACGGGAUUAGAAAGCCCGGUAGUCCUAGCCGUAAACGA